rnacentral:rRNA from 1 species
ACGCUCGACACCUACGGGACAGCAGUGGGGAAUAUUGGGCAAUGGGCGCAAGCCUGACCCAGCAACGCCGCGUGAAGGAAGAAGGCUUUCGGGUUGUAAACUUCCUUUAUUAAGGACGAAGCAAUGACGGUACUUAAUGAAUAAGCUCCGGCUAACUACGUGUCAGCAGCCGCGGUAAUCUGAGCGGGCUGGCAAGGC